CACCUGGCCGAGCGCGCAUGCGCCCGCACUACCAGUGCUGGGGGCGUCCGUAUCGCUUACUCCUCAGUCUCCGCAACCCCCGCCCCACUGAGAAUCGAGCUCACGCCAUCUUGCACCCCCCCACCAUUGCCCCGUCACACAGCCGAGUCACCUUUUCCCUUUCUACACUCCACACUCUCUGCCCCCUACCCCGCCCCUUUCCAAGCGUGUCCUGGGCCGCAGCAGCAGAAACCGCACCAUCUCCACCCCCACAUUCUCCUCGCGGGAAGCGCAGCACUGCCUACAAGGGUUCUUAAAGCAGAGAUGAAUAAUACGGCAGCUAGUCCAAUGUCUACUGCAACUUCAAGUAGUGGAAGGAGUACAGGGAAGUCUAUAAGUUUUGCAACAGAAUUACAGAGUAUGAUGUAUUCUUUAGGUGAUGCUAGAAGACCUCUUCAUGAAACAGCAGUUUUGGUAGAAGAUGUGGUACACACUCAGUUAAUUAAUCUGUUACAGCAAGCUGCUGAAGUUUCUCAGCUGCGGGGAGCAAGGGUAAUCACUCCUGAAGAUCUUCUGUUUUUGAUGCGCAAAGAUAAGAAAAAACUUAGAAGAUUGCUAAAAUACAUGUUUAUCCGAGACUACAAAUCAAAGAUUGUCAAAGGCAUCGAUGAGGAUGAUCUUCUUGAAGACAAAUUGAGUGGCAGCAAUAAUGCGAACAAAAGACAAAAGAUUGCUCAGGACUUCCUCAACUCUAUUGACCAGACAGGAGAACUUUUAGCAAUGUUUGAAGAUGACGAAAUUGAUGAAGUUAAACAAGAAAGAAUGGAGAGAGCAGAAAGACAAACUCGAAUUAUGGAUUCAGCUCAAUAUGCAGAAUUCUGUGAAAGUCGACAAUUAAGUUUCUCCAAAAAAGCUUCCAAAUUUCGAGACUGGUUGGACUGCAGCAGUAUGGAGAUAAAACCCAAUGUUGUCGCAAUGGAAAUCUUAGCAUAUUUAGCAUAUGAAACUGUGGCACAGUUAGUGGAUCUGGCUCUUCUUGUGAGGCAAGACAUGGUAACCAAGGCAGGGGACCCCUUCAGCCAUGCCAUUUCUGCAACCUUCAUUCAGUAUCACAACUCUGCUGAGAGCACUGCAGCCUGUGGUGUUGAGGCUCACAGCGAUGCCAUCCAGCCCUGCCACAUCAGAGAGGCCAUUCGACGCUACAGCCACAAGAUUGGCCCACUUUCCCCAUUCACAAAUGCCUACCGCAGGAAUGGGAUGGCUUUUCUAGCCUGCUGAUGUGACAACUGUGAUGUGCCUGCAACAACAGGAAAGGCAAUGUUAUAUUAAGUCCCAGAGAAGGAAGACUCAACGUACAUUUCUCUCAGAAAUAUGACAAGUCUGUGUUUUUGUUGGUCUGGCGUAUGUUUGUCUAUCUUGAACAGUCUGACAGGAGGGUAAAGACAGAAAAAAAAAAAGGAGGCAAGGCUCAAGAUGAUCAAAAUAUAGUUUUACUUACUUAUACCAGGAGUAAACCAAGCCAAUUCAGCACUUCCUGUUUACUUCCUUGUCAUAUGUAUCAUAGAUGGUGACAGACCUGCUCUCAAAACAAGCUUCCUUCGUUUAAUUCUGCAUUUUCUGCUUAGACAACCACCCUAUCAAUAUACUUGAACAAUGAAACAAUUUGGCUACUGAAGCACUGUCUCUGAAUUCCUCCUUCAACUUGUCAGUGGAAAGGAAAGUCCCUUGGUGGAAUGGUAGGAAUAGUUUUAAGUGGGAUAUCACACAGUGCCUUGCAGUGGAGAAUAUCAAAGCAUUUUCAGCUCUUAAUCUUGGUCUGCAUGACAUGGGUGAACACAAGGCUAGUAAACAACUUGAUUUCCUUAGGAGAUUCUCAAUGCUUUAUCUGUUUUUUAAGUAAGAAGAUUGAGUUUCAUGUAUAUUGAGUGACUAAAGUGUAAGCUUAGAAAUAUUUUAUGUUUCCAUCAUAGUUUAUUCUGUUCAGCAUAAAUCAUCAGAGCCAACCAUAACUUAACCAUUUACUAGAGCUUUUUCAGAGUCAGUUGUAUUACAAGCAUGUCAGACACACCUUCCUACAAGUCCCUCAAGGUCAAUAGUUUAGAAAUUCUGCAUUUUCCUUCCCUUCCCCACUCAACACUUAUGGAAAUAUAUGCUAAUUGGAACAGAAGCUGCCUACCAAACUAACAGGGUUAGACCACUCUUAACACAAGAUUAAUGAGAAAGAAGUUUAAGGAAAAAAUAACAUUUCUCAAGCAGUAAGAAAGUACAUGCCAAGUAAAAGCCAACAGUCUGCAUCAGUCGGAUACCAACUUCUGCUUUCCCUUGACUUUACUUAAAGGAGUUAAAGACAGGGAAUCCUGUAUGUCCAGCCUUGCUCCAGUCACUGUUGCCAGCCCUCUGGCUCAGUGUGGCUGGCUUCUCACCUUCCUUGGGGCCUCAGCUCAGCAGCCACCAUUGUGGAAAACAAGACCACAGACUGAAGGGUUAGAAUGAGACUCUAUACAUUGUUUACUAAGGUGACAUGCCAGAGGGAAUGAUGAGGCACAGACAUACUGCAUGUGGCCUGCUGCAUUCAUGACAGGCCUUUGUAGGUGUGUGAUUUAUAUUCAUAAAGGGGGAUUUGGAGACAAUGGAUGUUUAAAGUCACUGACAUUGGCAAGAAAUUAAGUUUGUGAAUCACUCUAUGCUGUUGACGAAUGACUGAACUGUGAGUUAGCAGACAUCAAGAGCUGUCAAUUAGGAGUGAUACUAACGUUCUUUUGAAAUAGGUUUAGACAACGGUAUUUGCUUAGAGUAAUUGCAGAAACUGUAAUUGGCAUACUACAUGACAUAUUUACAUUAUUUGGCAAGGGCCGGCGGGGGCGGGGGGCAAUUUCUCUUAGAAUUCCAACCCUUUCAGGAUCCAAAGGCAGCCUUCACCUGUGGCACAUGCUUAGCUCUUUAUAAGCACCCGAAAUUUUUCCAAAUAAAUUUUACACAUUUAAAAAGUGAUGAUCUUUCAUACCUAGUGCCCAGAUCUUAGUUUCUAAAUAUCAUUCCCCACUGGUAUUCAGGGUUCCUUGGAGAAAUGCCUGAUCCCAGAACCAGGGCAGGGAAAGAUGCCUGAAAAAUGAUCCUUGAAUAUUUUAUUGCAUAAGAAAAUAAGGAAUUGGUCAAAGAACCAUGGGGAAAUGUCAAAAAUGGAGCUGGAAGAGGCUCUUACUGGCCAAAUCUGGGACAAUUUGAGCAUCGAAAUAAAUAAUGAUAGUACUAGUUUGUCACCCAUAGAAUAAAUAUUCAUGAGUCCAUGCAGUAUAAAUAAGUAAACAGAGGAGAAAGUGAAAGGUCUUCUUUGCAGAAGAAUGCCAACUAAUAAAUAUAGAAAGAAUAGUGGCAUUAAAAGAUCAUCAAUGGUAGAGGAAGACUGAUAAGAAUUGGUUUGUGUAGUCUCAAAUUGUCUCCCCACAAAUUACUGAUUAAUUGAAAAGGAAAAAAUAGUAAAAAAGAAAUCUGAUGUUCUUUAAAUUAUUUAUUCUAAGUAUUGUUAAUUAAAAUGUUAUGUUUGUGUUCAAAAAUGGAUAAGUACUCUUGCUUAAAUUUUGUGUUUCUGCAGGCUAUGCCACUAAAGAAGAAAUGCAAACAGGGAGAAAUUCAUUUAUAAUAGUUGAAAGAAUAUCUCCAAUGAUGGCAAAUCCUUUGAUAAAAUAUAUUUUGGUCAAAUGCCUAAGACAGCUCCUUUUGUUCAGCCUCAAUCUGGAAAUUGUUCUUCCCUCCAAAAGCCAGAACAGGCUGACACUGUAGCACAUCAGAAGCAUAUGGGAGCUCUCUGCUCCAAGCACUGCAAUUUAAGGGAGAUGGGGAGCUACAGCAUCAUGUGGGCAAAGAGGUGGCCAUUCUAGGAUGGCACUGGAACUCCGUCUGUCCCUUCCCCAGUGAGGACCCUGGCCACCUUUAUUUCCCCCUUUUGUUGUCUAUAUAAAACCAGAAACACUGUUUUCAGUUCCUGUGAUGGUUAGGUAUCUGAAGCAGGCAGGACACCAAUGUCCAGACAGGGCAGACUGGGUAAACAGGACUCAGAGAUAAUGCUGGCUCAGCUGGGCGCCCAGCCACCUGGUUAUGUGAUGAUCUGCACUAGUAUUCCAGGCAGACCGGACAGGCACCUUGAAGACUACAUUUAGAUGCUAAAAUGCACACCCACAAAACAGCCAUCUCAGACUUCUAAUCUUACUUUAUGACCAAACUGUAAUUACAUUACACCAAUUACUUGAAUAUUACAUUUUUAUUACUGUUAUGUCAUUAUGUCUACUAGGAAAAAAAUAUGCCUACUUUAACCAAUAAAAUUCUUAAUGACUCAUUUAAGCUGUGUCUACAUGAAACCCCUGACUUAAACAUUUUGGUCAAAAUAAUUUUUAGGGCCUGGGAGAAAAAGAGAGUUAAUCUCCAUCUAUGUGAUUACCCCCAAAGCAAGAAAACUUCCAUUCGUAGAUGUACGGCUAGAAGUUAAAAAGUUCCAGCCAAGGCUAAUCAGAAAGUUACGAUGACUGUAUUUAAGAGCUAUAUUUAUAAAGCCAUCAAUUCUUUAUCGUCUGUUGAUCAGUUACAACUAUUAAUAAAAAAGGAGAGCUGGGAACUCAGGAAACAUCCAUGUAGCCGUCCUCCAGAUGCAUGGAGGCACGUUUACAUUUCCAAAAUGUCAAGUAGGCCCAGCUGUAAAAAGAUUCCUUAACGGCCAUCUAGGCCAGUUUUUUGGGAGCCAGUGAUUUCAUUGGGACUCCCUAGGGACAGUCCCCCAAAUAGAGUUAUUAAUGUGUAGAACUUCUGUUUUAAAAUCAUUAUAAUUACAUUUUACUUCAUUUACCUCUUUUAAGGUAGCAUCUCAUUUUCUGUAGGCCAGUGACCUGUAGAGCUUAUCUCACUGAGAAAUUCCAGGCAGUCAGACUCGGUGUAUUUUCUCAGCAGAGGGAUCUCUGACCUUAACCACCUCUCAGCUUGCCCCAAACCUAUGUGUCCCUUUCCCAAGCCAUGCAGACUCAGACAAGCAUAGGACGCUGCCUGUCUCCAAAAUAAUUCUCUACUUUGGGAGCCAGAAUUCAGACCCUUGAAUUUUGAGAAUUUACCAUAUGCACUUAAGUGAGUCAAAAUAUCCAAAUUUAAUCACUGUUGAAAACUUUUUUCACAUACAUUUUACACAUGCCUUUUCCUCCCAACGUUUUAUGCAUUAAACACUUUCCUACAAGAAGAUGAAGUGGGAACAGGUUUUUCUUCCCCUAGGCUUGGUAUUUGCUUUAUUUAAAAAAAAAAAACAAAAAUCCUUUUGACAAUAUAUGUACUCUGUAUUACUGUGUAAAAUCUCAUGCCUAAUUCUAAAGUUAUGUGCAUCUGCUGGACAUAAACACUGUUAAACAUUCAUGACUGCCUACAAAUGUGAAAAGUAUUACCAGGUCUAUUUUUAACAUUAUUUUGGCAAGACUGUUGCUGUGGAAAAAAAAAUCCUAUAGAAUCUUAAUGAGAAAACUGAAUGAUUCUUUGAAAUGUAGUUGUGAUUCCCUAACUUAUUAAAUGAUGAUGUCACUGGUGCCGAGAAGCAAGAAACAGUGGACUCACACACUUGCCAGCACGCUCUGGAGAUACACCAGAAGGGAAAUGAAACUCAUCUUGAGUGCGGUUUGCGCUGAGCUGCACCUUCCCCCACAGCUCAGAA